UAAGGAAUAUUGGUCAAUGGAGGCAACUCUGAACCAGCCAUGCCGCGUGCAGGAAGAAGGCCCUAUGGGUCGUAAACUGCUUUUGAACAAGAGAAAACCCCGGUACGUGUACUGGGUUGAUAGUAUUGUUAGAAUAAGCAUCGGCUAACUUCGUGCCAGCAGCCGCGGUAAGACGAAGGAUGCAAGCGUUAUCCGGAUUCAUUGGGUUUAAAGGGUGCGUAGGCGGACUGAUAAGUCAGUGGUGAAAUCUCUCGGCUUAACCGAGAAACUGCCAUUGAUACUGUUAGUCUAGAGUACAGAUGAUGUGGGCGGAAUAUGACAUGUAGUGGUGAAAUACUUAGAUAUGUCAUAGAACACCGAUUGCGAAGGCAGCUCACAAAACUGUAACUGACGCUGAGGCACGAAAGUGCGGGGAUCAAACAGGAUUAGAUACCCCAGUAGUCCCUGAGCGGGCUGGCAAGGCGCAU
rnacentral:rRNA from 1 species